rnacentral:rRNA from 1 species
UUUUAGAUAAUAAUUUAAAGUCUGGCCUGCCCACUGAAUAUAAUUUAAAGGGCCGCGGUAUUUUGACUGUGCAAAGGUAGCAUAAUCAUUAGUCUUUUAAUUGAAGGCUUGUAUGAAUGGUUGGAUGAAAUAUUAACUGUCUCAAAUUAAUAAGAUAGAAUUUAAUUUUUAAGUUAAAAAGCUUAAAUGUUAUUAGAGGACGAGAAGACCCUAUAGAUUUUUAUAAUUUUUUAUUUAUAAAUAAUUUGGUUGAUAGAAGUUUUUAGGUAAGGGAUUAUUUUAUUGGGGUGAUAAAUAAAUUUAAUAAACUUUAUAAAAUAUAAACAUUAAUGUAUGAAUUAUUGAUCCAUUUUUAGUGAUUAUAAGAUUAAAUUACCUUAGGGAUAACAGCGUAAUUUUUUUAGAGAGUUCAUAUCGAUAAAAAAGUUUGCGACCUCGAUGUUGAAUUAAAGAUUAAUUUAGGUGUAGAAGUUUAAAUUUUUGGUCUGUUCGACCAUUGAAUCUUU